UCUGGGGUAGCUCAGCGGUAGAGCAGGCGGCUGUUAACCGCCAGGUCGCUGGUUCGAAUCCAGUCCCCAGAGCCA
rnacentral:tRNA from 1 species